rnacentral:rRNA from 1 species
CANUCUAGCUCUAGGUCGGGGACAACCACUGGAAACGGUGGCUAAUACCGGAUGAGCCGAAAGGUGAAAGGCUAGCUGCCUAGAGAUGAGCUCGCGUCUGAUUAGCUAGUUGGUGUGGUAAGAGCGCACCAAGGCGACGAUCAGUAGCUGGUCUGAGAGGAUGAUCAGCCACACUGGGACUGAGACACGGCCCAGACUCCUACGGGAGGCAGCAGUGGGGAAUUUUCCGCAAUGGGCGAAAGCCUGACGGAGCAAUACCGCGUGAGGGAGGAAGGCUCUUGGGUUGUAAACCUCUUUUCUCAAGGAAUAAGAUCUGAAGGUACUUGAGGAAUAAGCAUCGGCUAACUCCGUGCCAGCAGCCGCGGUAAUACGGAGGAUGCAAGCGUUAUCCGGAAUGAUUGGGCGUAAAGGGUCCGCAGGUGGCAUUGUGUGUCUGCUGUUAAAGAGUCUAGCUCAACUAGAUAAAAGCAGUGGAAACUACAAAGCUAGAGUGCGUUCGGGGUAGCAGGAAUUCCUGGUGUAGCGGUGAAAUGCGUAGAGAUCAGGAAGAACACCGGUGGCGAAAGCGUGCUACUAGGCCGUAACUGACACUGAGGGACGAAAGCUAGGGGAGCGAAUGGGAUAGAAUCCCCCCUAAUANNNUCCUCGAAAUUUCUAUAACCGGGGGAAAAGGGGUUUUUCUCCCCCUCGUUACACCA